rnacentral:piRNA from 1 species
GUGUGAAGGCAACCCUUUGAUUCACAUG